AGUCCCAGAGACCGCUGGGGUGGCAGGGCCCACCCGAUCGGGGUCUGGGGACAGAAAUCCAGCCCGCCCCUUGACCAGGAACACCCUUGCAUCCACUGAUGCCCCGAUUCCGUCAAUUCAAGAACCACCCCAGCGAGCUCCCGUGGCAAAAUGAGCGAGGGGGAUACACCAAAGAACUGCCUUCAUUCAGUCUCCUCGACCCUCUAUCCAUCCUAUCAGCAUCUCUCCGCCCCCGGGCGCCCACUGCCCUAGGAUUGAGGGCAGGACCGGAGUCGCUCCCCAGGCUGAGGACUGGGCACUCUGACAUCGAACCCCGCAGUACCGACCAUGAACAAAGAAACUCUGCGAUUCUAGGUGGGCCCACUCACCGUGCUGGAACCGCGCCUCCACCAGCCUUCCGCGUCACGGUCGGGGGGACUGGGCGCGGCGGGUGCUUCCGGACCUAUCUCCGAGGUCUGGGACCCGCAGCCUCAGCGGUGCCCCCGGACCGGCAUCCGACCCUUCCCCCCUGCCGCCGCCGCCUCGGCCUCACAGACCCGGCGUCAUCCCGCUGCCUGCGCGCCCACCCUCCGGCUGGGGCGCUGCACUGGCCCCUCUAGCCCUGCCCCACCACGGGCUCCACUGCAGCCGCCGCCACCGCGGAGGCCCUAGCAAACCCCUUGUUUUUGUUUUGAGUUUUCAACGCCCCCAAGGGGGCGGGGCACGUGACUCCCCGCGGAGGGAUCUGACGCUGCCGCAACAGACUUUGAAAAAUAGUUCCGCCCAUAAGCCUUAUCUCCAGCCAGCUUUGAGGCCUCCUCAGCUCGCCUUUGCUUUACUGAGCCACUCCUCCUUCUCGGUUUCAAGGCGAAGGAUGGAAUCUGGACAUCGGCUUCAUUCCGAGAUUGAUCCUAAGGGGGGGGGAAAUGGUAGCGAUAGGCAUGAGGGGGCGGAAGGAGAUAGUUUCUGGUCGCAUUGCACCUUUUAAAGGUCCCCGAUUUGUUUUGUUUUCGCUGUUUUGAAAAGUCCGCCCAAAGUAGCCGACUCCCUGAUUGGAUAUUGGUGGGGCUAGCCGAAUGCUGAAGCUCUGAUUCACUCUCGAAUCCGGAUUGGCUAACUGAUUGGCCUUUGAGCCCUCUGAUUGGUUUUCACCGUAUGCUACUCCUCUUUCUGCCUUGGGGCCUUAGCAACUCUGGGGUCUGCAUUGCGCAUGCCUGAGUGGACCGCGUAGGAGGAAUUCCUUGACUUGGCCCGGUGGUCUUUCCCUUUCCUCCGCCCCCUCGGCUCUAAGCAGGGAAGUACCACUCUCGGUUCUCCCCUCCAAAGAGCCGGAACUGCUAGGUAACCUUUGUGACAACCCCUCCCACCACGGGAGGGUUUCCUGCGUUCCUUUUAUAAUUUGUUGUGCAGGUCCAUUUUUGCGAUAAUCAAGUAAAAUUUUCAGGGUACUUAUUGAAAUAUUUGGGAGUAAAAUGCUGUCAUCUUUGAUAUUUGCUUUAAAGCUUUCCGACCGAGAGGGAAAAAAAUGGAGGAUGGGUAAAACAAGACUGGCAAAAAGCUGAGUUCUUAAAACUAGAUGUGGGUACAAGAGGGUUCGUUGCACUAUUCUUUCUACUUUUGUGCACCUUGAAAUUUUUCCCUAAUAAAAGUAAAUUUUCGAUGAAAGGACUUAAAAAUUUACCUGUGCACAUUGAUGAUGGCACGUAAACAUCUAAUAAUAGCGUCCCUCCUGGGGUUGUAAUUGUACUGUUGUUUAAAUGACGACUCCAAGAGGCUUCCUGGUCCUUAGUUACCCAUAAAUUAUCAUUUAUUGUGCAUUAUAAUUAGCGUAGUUAUUAAGAGGCGACACCUCUUCUGAGGCAGGGCAAAAAGCAAAGCAAAGGGUGCCUUGGGCAGGAGAAACUUUCACACGGAAUAUAUGGGGGGAUGUUGAGGCUCCUCUCUAACAUUUAUAGUUUACUUUUUCUCGCUUCAGUUCCUCGCUGGCUGCCUGCUAAAGGAGCACAUUCUACUCUAAAUAAUCAAUUAGCUCCAAGGAACUGAUUUCUUUCCUCUUCUGUAUGUUUUCUGUAUAUUGUUGUGCUACUUGUAAAAAUAUGCGAAGGCAUGUAACAUAGCUUUUGCAACAGCUUUCUCUUUUUUUCCAGAGCAGCUAAGGAAUUAGAUCCCUUUGCAUAUUGGCUGGGACUAGACUGAGGCGUCUGGAGCACAGGGCCCACUGGGGGAGGGGUGCUCAGAGCGAAUCCUCGUAUUCCAGAGAGGUGUGGCCUAGUACUGAGUUUUGGAAAAUUUAAAAAUUGCAUUACCAGACUACUUUAAAUGAUUAACAGUUUCCAUAAUUUUACUCAAUGUGUGUUUGAUUUUGGAGAUAUUGUUAGAGCUAUUACUUGUAUAUUACAUAAACUUCUUGCUGGAAAUCUGUGCUGAAAAACAUAAAAGAGGGCAUGUAACUAACAUGGAAAAAAGAACUAAGAUUAGAAUUACAUACAUGAUAGUUCCUUUUACAGUAAAGAGGCUCAAUGGACAGAGCCCAGAGAGAAAACAGCUGGACGGGAAACAUACACCCUGAAGAGAAAGGAGAAUUGCACCAAAAUAUGAAGGAGAUUGGGGACUUUUUUUCAAGUAGGAGGGCAAAGGUAGCAAAGGAACAAACCGGAAAUGUCAAAAUAUGUGGCAGAAGAUUUUUUUUUUGGUCUUUUCUUGGGCGGCACCCACAGCAUGUGGAGGUUCCCAGGCUAGGGGUCUAAUCAGAGCUGUAGCCACCAGCCUACACCAGAGCCACAGCAAUGUGGGAUCUGAGCUGCGUCUCCAACCUACACCACCGCUCAUGGCAACGCCGGAUCCUUAACCCACUGAGCGAGGCCAGGGAUCGAACCUACAAGCUCAUGGUUCCUAGUCGGAUUCGUCAACCACUGGGCCACGACAGUAACUCCAGAAGAUUUUUUAAAUAAAAGAGAAAAUAAAUAUAACACAAAAAAGGAGAUUUGGAGACAUUGGCCUUUGCCUAGAUCACUCACUGUUACAAAUCUCUACAAAAUGUAUACUACUUAUCUCAUAAUUGUUGUUUUUUAUGUAUCUUCCUACGGGCAACCUCUUGAAUGAUGAGCAGUUCUCUCAAGAAAGCUUUGUAAAUGGUGUCGAAUUUCUUGCUCUUACAGGGCCUGUUGAGUACAGAAAAGACUGAUUAAAUUGUCCAAUAU
rnacentral:lncRNA from 1 species